GACGAACGCUGGCGGCGUGCUUAACACAUGCAAGUCGAACGGAAAGGCCCUGCUUUUGUGGGGUGCUCGAGUGGCGAACGGGUGAGUAACACGUGAGUAACCUGCCCUUGACUUUGGGAUAACUUCAGGAAACUGGGGCUAAUACCGGAUAGGAGCUCCUGCUGCAUGGUGGGGGUUGGAAAGUUUCGGCGGUUGGGGAUGGACUCGCGGCUUAUCAGCUUGUUGGUGGGGUAGUGGCUUACCAAGGCUUUGACGGGUAGCCGGCCUGAGAGGGUGACCGGCCACAUUGGGACUGAGAUACGGCCCAGACUCCUACGGGAGGCAGCAGUGGGGAAUAUUGCACAAUGGGCGGAAGCCUGACGCAGCAACGCCGCGUGCGGGAUGACGGCCUUCGGGUUGUAAACCGCUUUCGCCUGUGACGAAGCGUGAGUGACGGUAAUGGGUAAAGAAGCACCGGCUAACCACGUG
rnacentral:rRNA from 1 species